UUAUCUCUGUAGAGUCUGCAUAUCAAUAAGCGGAGGAAAAGAAACUAACUAGGAUUCCCUCAGUAACGGCGAGUGAAGCGGGAAGAGCUCAAAUUUGAAAUCUUCAAGGUUUUACCUUGACGAAUUGUAGUUUAAAGAAGUGUUUUCUGUUGGAGUUUUGGUAAAAGUUCUUUGGAACAGGACAUCAUAGAGGGUGAGAAUCCCGUACUUGACCAUUAUUUCCAGCUUUGUGAUACACUUUCAAAGAGUCGGAUUGUUCGGGAAUGCAGUCCAAAAUGGGUGGUAAAUUUCAUCUAAAGCUAAAUACUGGCGAGGGACCGAUAGCGAACAAGUACCGUGAGGGAAAGAUGAAAAGAACUUUGAAAAGAGAGUUAAACAGUACGUGAAAUUGUCAAAAGGGAAGCGUUUGACACCAGUGUUGUUUUCUCGAAAAUCAAUUAAAAAUGGCGGGAUUUUGUGUUGUAUUGACUUUAUCAGCUUUCUGCACUUUUUUCCUGUCUUUUUUAAUGCACUUUUCGUUUAACAAGUCAACAUCAAUUUCUUUUGUUGUAAAAGGAGUCAUUGGAAGGUGGCUUUCUUUUCGGAGAAAGUGUUUAUAGCCUUUGGCCUCUGCAAUCGGAGAGAUUGAGGUCUGCAGCGUAGAUCCUUCGGGGUUAGAUACAUUUGUGCUAAGUUAUAGCCUUUCAUAGACAACUUGUUGACUAUGAUCAGUCAUGUAGCUUACUCGCUUAUGCUAUUUUACCUACGCUUAGGAUGUUGAGUCAUCACACAUCUCU
rnacentral:rRNA from 1 species